AUUGGUUGGUAGACAGAUGGAGGAGAUGAUUGGUUGGUAGACACAUGGAGGAGAUGAUUGGUUGGUAGACACAUGGAGGUGUUGUGGGAGAUGAUUGGUUGGUAGACAGAUGGAGGAGAUGAUUGGUUGGUAGACACAUGGAGGUGUUGGGGAGAUGAUUGGUUGGUAGACACAUGGAGGUGUUGUGGGAGAUGAUUGGUUGGUAGACACAUGGAGGUGUUGUCACGCCUCCCUGCAAGGUCACGCUGAGGUAGUUAGACACACCUCCCUGCAAGGUCACGCUGAGGUAGUUAGAGACACACCUCCCUGCAAGGUCACGCUGAGGUAGUUAGACACACCUCCCUGCAAGGUCACGCUGAGGUAGUUAGACACACCUCCCUGCAAGGUCACGC
ensembl:lncRNA